ACGAACGCUGGCGGCGUGCCUAAUACAUGCAAGUCGAACGAGCUCUCCUAAAUUGAUUUUAUGCUUGCAUAAAUGAUUUUUAGAUUCGGAGCGAGUGGCGAACUGGUGAGUAACACGUGGGUAACCUGCCCCGAAGCGGGGGAUAACAUUUGGAAACAAAUGCUAAUACCGCAUAAUUAGUUGGAACCGCAUGGUUCCAACUUGAAAGAUGGCUCUGCUAUCACUUUGGGAUGGACCCGCGCCGUAUUAGUUAGUUGGUGAGAUAAAAGCCCACCAAGACGAUGAUACGUAGCCGACCUGAGAGGGUAAUCGGCCACAUUGGGACUGAGACACGGCCCAGACUCCUACGGGAGGCAGCAGUAGGGAAUCUUCCACAAUGGACGAAAGUCUGAUGGAGCAACGCCGCGUGAGUGAUGAGGGUUUUCGGAUCGUAAAACUCUGUUGUUAAAGAAGAACAAGUGUUAGAGUAACUGUUAACACUUUGACGGUAUUUAACCAGAAAGCCACGGCUAACUACGUGCCAGCAGCCGCGGUAAUACGUAGGUGGCAAGCGUUGUCCGGAUUUAUUGGGCGUAAAGCGAGCGCAGGCGGUUUUGUAAGUCUGCUGUGAAAGCCCUCAGCUCAACUGAGGAAGUGCAGUGGAAACUACAAAACUUGAGUACAGAAGAGGAAAGUGGAACUCCAUGUGUAGCGGUGAAAUGCGUAGAUAUAUGGGAAGAACACCAGUGGCGAAAGGCGGCUUUCUGGUCUGUUACUGACGCUGAGGCUCGAAAGCAUGGGUAGCGAACAGGAUUAGAUACCCUGGUAGUCCAUGCCGUAAACGAUGAAUACUAGGUGUUGGAGGGUUUCCGCCCUUCAGUGCCGCAGCUAACGCAUUAAGUAUUCCGCCUGGGGAGUACGACCGCAAGGUUGAAACUCAAAGGAAUUGACGGGGGCCCGCACAAGUGGUGGAGCAUGUGGUUUAAUUCGAUGCUACGCGAAGAACCUUACCAGCUCUUGACAUCUUCUGCCAACCCAAGAGAUUGGGCGUUCCCUUCGGGGACAGAAUGACAGGUGGUGCAUGGUUGUCGUCAGCUCGUGUCGUGAGAUGUUGGGUUAAGUCCCGCAACGAGCGCAACCCUUAUUAUUAGUUGCCAGCAUUUAGUUGGGCACUCUAGUGAGACUGCCGGUGAUAAACCGGAGGAAGGUGGGGACGACGUCAAAUCAUCAUGCCCCUUAUGAGCUGGGCUACACACGUGCUACAAUGGAUGGUACAACGAGUCGCGAAACCGCGAGGUCAAGCUAAUCUCUUAAAGCCAUUCUCAGUUCGGAUUGCAGGCUGCAACUCGCCUGCAUGAAGUUGGAAUCACUAGUAAUCGUGGAUCAGCAUGCCACGGUGAAUACGUUCCCGGGCCUUGUACACACCGCCCGUCA
rnacentral:rRNA from 1 species